AAAGUUAUGGGUAAAAGAUUGAGCAAAGGUCAGAGUUGUCCUGUUCCAGCGUGAAAUUAUUGUUUUCUGUAUUUUCGUAUUUACUGUAGCAGUUUCUGUUUUAAUUUCAUCUUCAUGCAUGGUGAAAUGUGUUGUUCCAUUUAAUUUCGUUUUAAUUGAAUUUAAUUAUGUUUUUCUUACAUCUGCGUUUUAAUUUAAUUUCAUUUUAAUUUUUCCGCAUCCACAAACAACUUUUCAAAACCGCCCCUUUUCGUGUUAGACUUGAUUCUGAACUGCAGUUGGUCCUUGAGAGACGACCUAGGGGUCAUUCCCUAG
rnacentral:lncRNA from 1 species